AACGAACGCUGGCGGCAGGCUUAACACAUGCAAGUCGAGCGCCCCGCAAGGGGAGCGGCAGACGGGUGAGUAACGCGUGGGAAUCUACCCAUCUCUACGGAAUAACGCAUGGAAACGUGUGCUAAUACCGUAUACGUCCUUCGGGAGAAAGAUUUAUCGGGGAGUGGAUGAGCCCGCGUUGGAUUAGCUAGUUGGUGGGGUAAAGGCCGACCAAGGCGACGAUCCAUAGCUGGUCUGAGAGGAUGAUCAGCCACACUGGGACUGAGACACGGCCCAGAGUCCUACGGGGGGCAGCAGUGGGGAAUAUUGGACAAUGGGCGCAAGCCUGAUCCAGCCAUGCCGCGUGAGUGAUGAAGGCCCUAGGGUUGUAAAGCUCUUUCACCGGUGAAGAUAAUGACGGUAACCGGAGAAGAAGCCCCGGCUAACUUCGUGCCAGCCGCCGCGGUAAAAC
rnacentral:rRNA from 1 species